AAACAGGUAAAAUACGAAUACGAGCGUCAAAGUGUUUUUAUUGAAACGUUUAUCAAAGUUUAUGCAGGAAUUUCCGUGUAUCUUUAUGAUGUUAAAGCUGGAGGAUUUGAGAACCUGUAACUUGUGAAAGUUUGAUCAAGAGUCAGUGGAGGAGAUCAAACUCAUCAGAUUCUCCUGCAGCUUCAUCAUGGGUGAUUCACAAGGAUCCAGAGAUGGAGAUUUUUCUCCAGGAUGCAGUUCAGUCCAGCAGAAGAGCUCAAACCCAGAGUCCAGCUGUGUGUCUCUGAAGAGUAACUGCUCUAUGGGCGAGCCAAUAA